rnacentral:sRNA from 1 species
AGGGAGAAUAGAUUGAAGAGAAAAGCAUCUUCCAGUAGCAUUUUUUCAGAGAGUUGAGUGCAUUCUCUGGAGGAUCUUUCAUGGUAAAGCCUGAUAAUUU